AAAAUAUACACACGAAAAAAAAUCGUCAAUUCUUGAGAUGGCCAAGGCUAUAUUGACAUUUGUUUUUUUGUUAAGCCUAAUUUUUUGCAAUUUUAGCCAUAUGGGAAGAUGUGUUGAAGUGGAAAAACAAAGUGUAACUGGGACAAAACAGCAAGUGCCUCAAGGAUGCAUCAGUGCAGCAGAUUGUGUCUCUUUCUGUAAAAUUAUUGGUUUUCAAAGCUGUGGAUGUGAUGCCAACAAGCAUUGUUGUUGCAUUAUUCCACCCCUAGUGCUUAAGUAGGUUUACUUUUGUUUUUGAGAAUAUGUUCAAAAAACAAAAGUUCUGAAUAAGAAUUUCUUCAAGAAAGAAAG
rnacentral:lncRNA from 1 species